UACGAAGGGGGCUAGCGUUGUUCGGAAUUACUGGGCGUAAAGCGCGCGCAGGCGGUCUUCCAAGUCAGUGGUGAAAGCCUGGAGCUCAACUCCAGAACUGCCAUUGAAACUGUUUGGCUCGAGUACGAGAGAGGUGAGUGGAAUUCCCAGUGUAGAGGUGAAAUUCGUAGAUAUUGGGAAGAACACCGGUGGCGAAGGCGGCUCACUGGCUCGUAACUGACGCUCAUGCACGACAGCGUGGGGAUCAAACAGG
rnacentral:rRNA from 1 species